rnacentral:rRNA from 1 species
UGGUGCAUGGUUGUCGUCAGCUCGUGUCGUGAGAUGUUGGUUAGUCCCGCAACGAGCGCAGCCCUCCGACCUUAGUUGCCAGCAUUCAGUUGGGCACUCUAAGGUGACUGCCGGCUAAAAGUCGGAGGAAGGUGGGGAUGACGUCAAAUCAUCAUGCCCCUUAUGAUCUGGGCUACACACGUGCUACAAUGGUUGGUACAAGGGGAAGCAAAGCCGCGAGGCGGAGCAAAUCCGAUAAAAGCCGGUCUCAGUUCGGAUUGCAGGCUGCAAUUCGCCUGCAUGAAGUCGGAAUCGCUAGUAAUCGCAGGUCAGCAUACUGCGGUGAAUACGCUCCCGGGCCUU